UAUUCACACCAAUAAUACUUUCAAUUUUGUAAUAGUUUCAACAUAAAAUUAACUUUUAACUGAACUUUAUUUGCAAGUCAUAAAAAGUAUAAUCAUGUAUUGUUUGUCCGUAAAAAUCACCCUUAGGCUUCCGCUAGUUUUUCCAACCAGCCGCAAUCGCAAAAAAAUAAAGUUCGUAUACCUUACUCGAUGGGAGUAAUGGCCAGACUUCACGUCAACUCGUUGUAAUUUCACUUGGUAAGUCGUAAUAUGUCUACAAGUGACGCAAAUUAAGUAAGAGACGUCGCAUAAUUAGCACCUCAGGCACCUGUAAAAUAAUUGUGGAUGUCUAUUCAGCAUCUCCCUCUCCACCCGGCGCCUAACUUUUCCGCCUCCUCCAUGCAAUUGUUGUUGUCUUUGGAACAGGUUGUCAUGUAAUAGUUGUUUUAUGAAGCCACAAUAUGCAGAUAUUUACAAGACACAUUGUUUGCUUUACUAAAAAUCCCACCCAAAAGUGUGUUUCUUUUUCCAUUUCGCGUAUUUUGACAAAUAAUUGCAGUGGAAAAGCAUUUAGAGGCGAACAUAUCAAAGCCAUUAGCUACCAGUAUUAAAUGUCUAAUUAUAGAGAUUUUAUUGCGGUUUUAGUUAGUUGGCAGUAAAUGUUUAAUAUUUAAUUUUUAAUUGAUGCGAGAGUCUAGCAAUUAUUGCUCAAAUUAAACGGGUUUAUUUUUACAAUAUGUUUUCCCACGAAUGUUCAGCAAUUAAAUUAAAGAACAAUCAGAAUUUGCUUCUAAUUCUCUGAAAUGAUUUUCUACUAAGCACUUCUGCACGUUUUGCCGAUACGAUGACAAAGUAAGCAACAAGUUGACUACUACAUUUUAUGAUCUUAUCAUGUGACCGAAAUAAAUCCCCCAACACUCGAGUUUUGUGCAAAGCUGGCGUGGUCAUCAUCUGGCCGAUCGCGUGGCUAAUCAAAAACGUAACUGCCUUUUUGUUAUCUAAUCUGCAACAUUAUCUAAUUGUUUCGCUCUAGCACUGAUUUUUCAGACAAAUUUAUAAACUACUUAAUGCAAUUCAUAUGCACGAUGAUAAAGGACAAUAAUUUUUGAUACGCUUAAGUUUGCCGUCAACUUGUCUCUGGUGAAGGUGAAGAGAAGACAUGUGGCAACCAAAUGCAAUUGACCUUGACGAAGUCGUUGGAAUUUUAUGAUAUUUGCUCAAAGGUUUUUUUGCUGCUGCUUUCACUUUUGCCAUGAAACCAUGAAUAUCAUCUUUGGCCAGACUGUCAACCGAGAGCGGGCGUCUAACUCAUUCAUGGAUGCGACUGCGAGCAAUGCUCAGUAGUAGUUAUUAGUUACCGAAUACGAACUCGAACCCGAACCCCUGUUGAGACCUUAGUCGAACCCUCGGGCCAUUGACAUCGCUGGAUAGUUUUCACUCUGCAGAAAAUGAUGGCAAAAGGGGAAGGCAAAGAAAGCGCGCCGAAUGGGUAUGAAACAAGGUAAACAAAAGUUCAGGUGUGCACAUAUCAGGAAGUCAAUGAGUAACAGGAAUUGACAGCAAAGGGAAUUUCGACCUUCAGUCAGGGAACAGAACAACAACAGAGAGAUAGAGACAGAGAGGAGAAGGCGAGUAAACAAGCUUUUAGCCCAGUUUAAAAUUCAACAGCAGAUGAGACAAUGGGACAGCUUUAGCAGUUCAUCAACUAACUAACCACAGAAGAACCAACCAAAAAAAAAGAGCUUCGAAAAUAUGUUGAGUCAUUUAUCAAAAUGUAUUUUUAAGCAAUUUUAACAGCUAAAUUUGCCUGCGCCAAGUGCUUCCCAGGCAGCUCAAACAGAAACCAAAACAACCACAGCAUCAGCAACAGCAGCAGCAGCAACAGAGAGGAAUAACAACUUGUAGAUACAUAUUUAUGUUAAGUCAAGUUCCAGAGCUAAACACUUGAGACAUGGCAUUCUCAAUUGGCAACAAGCCUUUGCAAUUUAUUAUUUUGCUCAAAAGACUUCGGAGAUCUCUCAGGUGCUCAGGUGCAACCAACGGACUGUGAGCUGUGCUGCUGAGAAACUGUGUCAACGGCAAAGCAAAAUUGAAAAGUUGAUUUACAAUAAAAAAAUAAGCAUUUUGUUUACUUUGCUUAGGCCAAAUUGAACUUAGCCAAAGCACCGCGUGUGGCUGCAACACGCCACAGCAAUGGGUCUCCG